rnacentral:rRNA from 1 species
AGUCGAACGGAAAGGCCCUGCUUGCAGGGUACUCGAGUGGCGAACGGGUGAGUAACACGUGGGUGAUCUGCCCUGCACUUCGGGAUAAGCUUGGGAAACUGGGUCUAAUACCGGAUAGGAACCAUCUUUAGUGUGGUGGUUGGAAAGUUUUUUCGGUGUAGGAUGAGCUCGCGGCCUAUCAGCUUGUUGGUGGGGUAAUGGCCUACCAAGGCGGCGACGGGUAGCCGGCCUGAGAGGGUGUACGGCCACAUUGGGACUGAGAUACGGCCCAGACUCCUACGGGAGGCAGCAGUGGGGAAUAUUGCACAAUGGGCGCAAGCCUGAUGCAGCGACGCCGCGUGGGGGAUGAAGGCCUUCGGGUUGUAAACUCCUUUCGCUAGGGACGAAGCUUUUUGUGACGGUACCUAGAUAAGAAGCACCGGCUAACUACGUGCCAGCAGCCGCGGUAAUACGUAGGGUGCGAGCGUUGUCCGGAAUUACUGGGCGUGAAGGGCUCGUAGGUGGUUUGUCGCGUCGUCUGUGAAAUUCUGGGGCUUAACUCCGGGCGUGCAGGCGAUACGGGCAUAACUUGAGUGCUGUAGGGGUAACUGGAAUUCCUGGUGUAGCGGUGAAAUGCGCAGAUAUCAGGAGGAACACCGAUGGCGAAGGCAGGUUACUGGGCAGUUACUGACGCUGAGGAGCGAAAGCAUGGGUAGCGAACAGGAU